AUUCCAGCUCCAAUAGCGUAUAUUAAAGUUGUUGCGGUUAAAAAGCUCGUAGUUGGAUUUCUGCUGAGGACGACCGGUCCGCCCUCUGGGUGAGUAUCUGGCUCGGCCUUGGCAUCUUCUUGGGGAACGUAACUGCACUUGACUGUGUGGUGCGGUAUCCAGGACUUUUACUUUGAGGAAAUUAGAGUGUUUCAAGCAGGCGCACGCCUUGAAUACAUUAGCAUGGAAUAAUAAGAUAGGACCUUGGUUCUAUUUUGUUGGUUUCUAGAGCUGAGGUAAUGAUUAAUAGGGAUAGUUGGUGGCAUUCGUAUUUAACUGUCAGAGGUGAAAUUCUUGGAUUUAUGGAAGACGAACUACUGCGAAAGCAUUUACCAAGGAUGUUUUCAUUA
rnacentral:rRNA from 1 species